AGCGAACGCUGGCGGCAGGCUUAACACAUGCCAGUCGAGCGGGCACUUUCGGGUGUCCGCGGCGGACGGGUGAGUAACGCGUGGGAACGUGCCCUCUGGUUCGGAAUAACUCAGGGAAACUUGAGCUAAUACCGGAUACGCCCUUUUGGGGAAAGGCUUGCUGCCGGAGGAUCGGCCCGCGUCUGAUUAGCUAGUUGGUGAGGUAACGGCUCACCAAGGCGACGAUCAGUAGCUGGUCUGAGAGGAUGAUCAGCCACACUGGGACUGAGACACGGCCCAGACUCCUACGGGAGGCAGCAGUGGGGAAUAUUGGACAAUGGGCGCAAGCCUGAUCCAGCCAUGCCGCGUGAGUGAUGAAGGCCUUAGGGUUGUAAAGCUCUUUUAUCCGGGACGAUAAUGACGGUACCGGAGGAAUAAGCCCCGGCUAACUUCGU
rnacentral:rRNA from 1 species